AACGCUAGCUACAGGCUUAACACAUGCAAGUCGAGGGGCAGCAUUAUCGAAGCUUGCUUUGAUAGAUGGCGACCGGCGCACGGGUGAGUAACGCGUAUCCAACCUUCCUCUCUCCACGGGAUAGCCCGUCGAAAGGCGGAUUAAUACCGUAUGCUGUCACCAGAUGGCAUCAGAAAGUGACGAAAGGUUUAGCGGAGAGAGAUGGGGAUGCGUCCGAUUAGCUUGUUGGCGGGGUAACGGCCCACCAAGGCGACGAUCGGUAGGGGUUCUGAGAGGAAGGUCCCCCACAUUGGAACUGAGACACGGUCCAAACUCCUACGGGAGGCAGCAGUGAGGAAUAUUGGUCAAUGGACGGAAGUCUGAACCAGCCAAGUAGCGUGCAGGAUGACGGCCCUAUGGGUUGUAAACUGCUUUUAUGCGGGGAUAAAGUGGGCUACGUGUAGCCUAUUGCAGGUACCGCAUGAAUAAGGACCGGCUAAUUCCGUGCCAGCAGCCGCGGUAAUACGGAAGGUCCGGGCGUUAUCCGGAUUUAUUGGGUUUAAAGGGAGCGUAGGCCGGAGAUUAAGCGUGUUGUGAAAUGUAGACGCUCAACGUCUGCACUGCAGCGCGAACUGGUUUCCUUGAGUACGCACAAAGUGGGCGGAAUUCGUGGUGUAGCGGUGAAAUGCUUAGAUAUCACGAAGAACUCCGAUUG
rnacentral:rRNA from 1 species